CCUACGGGUGGCAGCAGUGGGGAAUAUUGCUCAAUGGGGGAAACCCUGAAGCAGCAACGCCGCGUGAGGGAAGAAGGCUUUCGGAGUGGUAAACCCUUUUGGUAGGGAAGAAAAUGACGGUACCUGACGAAUAAGCACCGGCUCACUCCGUGCCAGCAGCCGCGGUAAUACGGGGGGUGCAAGCGUUAUUCGGAUUUACUGGGCGUAAAGCGGGCGUAGUCGGGAUAGCAAGUCCGAUGUGAAAUCCUCGGGUUUAACCCUAGAACUGCAUUUGAAACUGGUGUGCUAGAGUGUGGGAGAGGUAGGUGGAAUGCUUGGUGUAGGGGUGAAAUGCGUAGAGAUCAAGAAGAACACUGAUUGCGAAGGCGGCAUACUGGAGCCUGACUGACGCUGAGGCGCGAAAGCGUGGGGAGCAAACAGGAUUAGAUACCCGAGUAGUC
rnacentral:rRNA from 1 species